rnacentral:rRNA from 1 species
CAGCAGUCGCCGCGGUAAUACGUAGGUGGCAAGCGUUGUCCGGAAUUAUUGGGCGUAAAGGGCUCGCAGGCGGUUUCUUAAGUCUGAUGUGAAAACCCCCGGCUCAACCGGGGAGGGUCAUUGGAAACUGGGAAACUUGAGUGCAGAAGAGGAGAGUGGAAUUCCACGUGUAGCGGUGAAAUGCGUAGAGAUGUGGAGGAACACCAGUGGCGAAGGCGACUCUCUGGUCUGUAACUGACGCUGAGGAGCGAAAGCGUGGGGAGCGAACAGGAUUAGAUACCCCGGUAGUCCCUGUCUCUUAUAC